UGUUCUCCGACACGAUCGAAGCACUUGAGGCAAAAUCCUUCAGCAUUACAUCGGUGUUAAAGGUAAUGACUGCCUAACUAAAACAAAUGCUGGAAAGAAGGAUGAAGGACAGGUUCUUUGGGUUUACUGUCAACACCAAACUGAAGCAGCUGUAUGGAGGUAGAUUUGUGUCUUUAUUAUGCAAUCAAAAAUAAUAGGUUUGAGAGCAAAACUUUCCACACUGCAAUCAAAAAAUAGAUUUGAGAGCAAAACUAUCGACACUGCAAUCAAAAAAUGUUUUAUUGCAAGAUAAAUAAAUGUGAUAAUAAAUUAAUGGGAAUCCAAAAGUUUUGUUUGCAAAUCCAAAAGUUUUGUUUGCGAAUCAAAAAGUUUUGCUUGCAAAUCCAAAAGCUUUGCUUGCUGUUGAGCUGAAUCUCGUGGGCGGGACCUACGCCGAAAGAUGUAAGACACGUCUCUAUUGGCCAUUUUGAAGUCCAUGAUGAGACAGAGCGGGAGUCGGGAGCUGAGAGGAAAGAAAAUCAAUGCGCAGGUAUGUCUUCCGUCAUAGUAAUAGCAAGAAUGUUAUGUUUGAACUGGUGCAUGUAGAUUGCUUUUGUUUAACGAUCUGUGGAUGUUUUAUUGGGUUAAAAAAAAUACACAUUAUUUUGUCAGCCUGUAGCUGCUAGCUUGGCUCAAUUACCUAGUUAUAGGUACGUUACGUGCCCAGGCUGCCUAUUAGCCUGCAUGACGUUGUGCAUGUAGCUACUAGUUAACAGGACUAUUUGUGUUCAACGAUCUAACGUUAGUUUAUGUUAUAUUUGUGAUGUGCUGUAUUAUU